CGUGAGCGGCGGACGGGUGGGUAACGCGUGGGUAACGUGCCUCAUACAGGGGGAUAACAGUUAGAAAUGACUGCUAAUACCGCAUAAGACCACGGUACCGCAUGGUACAGUGGUAAAAACUCCGGUGGUAUGAGAUGGACCCGCGUCUGAUUAGGUAGUUGGUGGGGUAACGGCCUACCAAGCCGACGAUCAGUAGCCGACCUGAGAGGGUGACCGGCCACAUUGGGACUGAGACACGGCCCAG
rnacentral:rRNA from 1 species